GCAGUCGCCACGGUAAUACGGAGGGUGCAAGCGUUAUCCGGAUUUAUUGGGUUUAAAGGGUCCGUAGGCGGAUCUGUAAGUCAGUGGUGAAAUCUCACAGCUUAACUGUGAAACUGCCAUUGAUACUGCAGGUCUUGAGUAAAUUUGAAGUGGCUGGAAUAAGUAGUGUAGCGGUGAAAUGCAUAGAUAUUACUUAGAACACCAAUUGCGAAGGCAGGUCACUAAGAUUUAACUGACGCUGAUGGACGAAAGCGUGGGGAGCAAACAGGAUUAGAUACCCGCGUAGUCCCUGUCUCUUAUAA
rnacentral:rRNA from 1 species